rnacentral:rRNA from 1 species
UUGAUUAAACCAUAAGAGGUCCAGCCUGCCCAGUGACAUUGUUCAACGGCCGCGGUAUCCUAACCGUGCGAAGGUAGCGUAAUCACUUGUCCUUUAAAUGAAGACUAGUAUGAAUGGCCCCACGAAAGCUAUACUGUCUCCUUUUUCUAAUCAGUUAAACUAAUCUCCCCGUGAAGAAGCGGGGAUAAACAUAUAAGACGAGAAGACCCUAUGGAGCUUCAAACAACUGAAACACUUGUAUAUCCUCCCCUCACCUACCAACAUUUAACCUCACAUUUUGUUUCUAGUUUUAGGUUGGGGUGACCACGGAGAAAAAACUAACCUCCACGACGAAAGAGACAUCUCUAAACAAAAAGCUACAUCUUUAUGUAUUAACACAUUAACCUUUAUUGACCCAAUAAAUUGAUCAACGAACC